AGACGCGAAAAAUGGACCCAGGGUUCAGAACCAUAAAGUAAUUUAGCCACUAGCUAAAUUAGUUUAGGGAGGCUAAAUUGACUACCGCUCCGCGGGAAGCGGCGCGCGCCGCCCGGGCCAGAACAGGGAAUCACGUGACCGCGUACGUGAGAGGAAUACACAUUACAUCAUCAUUCCACAUGUUUACGCCGCCAUGUUGGAAAAUGACGUGUUUCUUCAGAGAGAGAGUGAAUCCGUAAAUGUCCGCAGAUACGUUGUUACAGAAGAGAUUAGAAAUACAUAGACGCACUCCUUGAAAUGAUUUCUUUCCUGGGCACAACAAGAGGAUAUUUUUUUCGGAGAAUUGCCGAAGGAAACAUAACAACGGGCCAAGAAACGUUGUUGUUUUCGUAAACUUUUGGUUAUGGCCCCGACGCCUGUGAAAACGUUGCUGUGUCCCGUUCCGUUUGGACCACGAUUACGACAACCGCCUUAGACACUCAGCUGAGGAAUAGUCAUCCUCCAGCAGCCUGUCACCAUCAGCUGCUCGCUGGUUGGGCUGGCGCCCAGGCGGGAGGGCAGGUAGAUCACCUGCUGUCCUCACCCUCCCCAGGAAGACAUUAAAGCUGGACUCACCCUGUAGUGGGCAACAAUGUUCAUCAGGGAGUCUCUCAGGACUUGUUCACUCCCACCACACCUGGACAUCGACCAAUAGAAGUGAGUCUUCACUGCUGCUGCUGCAGGUAUCAUUGCUGUUUGUGGUCCUGGUGCCAUCUGCAAGGGGUGGCCGGUCCUUCACGAUCUUGUUGACUGAAGCUUGGCGAUCGUGGGCGUGGUCCACGAUCUGGAGCCCUGUUACAACACAAGAGGACAGCCAAUAUGUUGAAAUGUCUUAGCCAAGUUUAAGUA